UUAAGUUCAGCGGGUAUUCCUACCUGAUCCGAGGUCAACCAACUAAAAAGUAUAGGUUUAUGGCAACGCCGCGGCCACAACAAAAGCGAGAAAGAAAUCUACUACGCUUAGAGUGUACCGUAACCCUGCCACUGACUUUGAGGAGUUACCGUACGGUAAUGCUCCCAACGCUAAGCAACUAGGCUUAAUGGACUUAAUGA
rnacentral:misc_RNA from 1 species